rnacentral:lncRNA from 12 species
CCCCCCCCCCCCCCCCCCCCCCCCCCCCCCCCCCCCCCCCCCCCCCCCCGUAUGGGAAAUGUGUGUAUGGGAAUGGGGUGUGUAUGGGAAUGGUGUGUGUAUGGGAAUGGGGGUGUGUGUGGGAAAUGUGUGUAUGGGAAUGGGGGGGUGUGUAUGGGAAUGGGGUGUGUAUGGGAAUGUUGUGUCUGUGUGUGUAUGGGAAUGGGGGGGGGUGUGUAUGGGAAUGGGGUGUGUGUGUGUGUGUAUGGGAAUAGGGUGUGUAUGGGAAUGGGGGGGGUGUGUAUGGGAAUGGGGGGUGUGUACGGGAAAUGUGUGUAUGGGAAUGGUGUGUGUGUGUAUGGGAAUGGGGUGUGUGUGUGUGUAUGGGAAUGGUGUGUGUAUGGGAAAUGUGUGUAUGGGAAUGGGGUGUGUAUGGGAAUGGUGUGUGUAUGGGAAUGGGGUGUGUAUGGGAAUGGGGUGUGUAUGGGAAACGUGUAUGGGAAUGGUGUCUCCCCAGUGUCAUUUCUGACCCACUGCUGCCCUCACCACCUCCCCUUUGCUGUUGGCAAAACAAGACCUGUGGUGAUAAAAGGGGAGAAUUUUCUUCCCUGGUGUGCCUCCGGGUAAGAGCUCAGUUUGAGGAACUCCCCAGUACCCACAGAGAGGUUUUCCUUCCCUUCCCACAGAUGUAAGGAGCUCUGCUGAGCCCGAGCACUGCUGGGCACGUGUAAAACUCUCCACACUCCCUGACAUUCAUAUGUCAGUGUCCCC